CACGUAGUUAGCCGUGGCUUUCUGGUUAGGUACCGUCAAGGUACGAGCAAUUACUCUCGUACUUGUUCUUCCCUAACAACAGAGUUUUACGAUCCGAAAACCUUCAUCACUCACGCGGCGUUGCUCCGUCAGACUUUCGUCCAUUGCGGAAGAUUCCCUACUGCUGCCUCCCGUAGGAGUCUGGGCCGUGUCUCAGUCCCAGUGUGGCCGAUCACCCUCUCAGGUCGGCUACGCAUCGUUGCCUUGGUGAGCCGUUACCUCACCAACUAGCUAAUGCGCCGCGGGCCCAUCUAUAAGUGAUAGCGUAAACCAUCUUUCAGCCUUUCCUCAUGAGAGGAAAGGGAUUAUCCGGUAUUAGCUCCGGUUUCCCGAAGUUAUCCCAGUCUUAUAGGCAGGUUGCCCACGUGUUACUCACCCGUCCGCCGCUGAUAUCAGGGAGCAAGCUCCCAUCAAUCCGCUCGACUUGCAUGUAUUAGGCACGCCGCCAGCGUGUCUCGUGCACGGAC
rnacentral:rRNA from 1 species